rnacentral:rRNA from 1 species
GUCGAGGGGCAGCACGAUGUAGCAAUACAUUGGUGGCGACCGGCGCACGGGUGAGUAACGCGUAUGCAACCUACCUAUCAGAGGGGAAUAACCCGGCGAAAGUCGGACUAAUACCGCAUAAAACAGGGGUUCCACAUGGAAAUAUUUGUUAAAGAAUUAUCGCUGAUAGAUGGGCAUGCGUUCCAUUAGAUAGUUGGUGAGGUAACGGCUCACCAAGUCCACGAUGGAUAGGGGUUCUGAGAGGAAGGUCCCCCACACUGGUACUGAGACACGGACCAGACUCCUACGGGAGGCAGCAGUGAGGAAUAUUGGUCAAUGGGCGAGAGCCUGAACCAGCCAAGUCGCGUGAAGGAUGAAGGAUCUAUGGUUUGUAAACUUCUUUUAUAUGGGAAUAAAGUGAGGAACGUGUUCCUUUUUGUAUGUACCAUAUGAAUAAGCAUCGGCUAACUCCGUGCCAGCAGCCGCGGUAAUACGGAGGAUGCGAGCGUUAUCCGGAUUUAUUGGGUUUAAAGGGUGCGUAGGUGGUUAAUUAAGUCAGCGGUGAAAGUUUGUGGCUCAACCAUAAAAUUGCCGUUGAAACUGGUUGACUUGAGUAUAUUUGAGGUAGGCGGAAUGCGUGGUGUAGCGGUGAAAUGCAUAGAUAUCACGCAGAACUCCGAUUGCGAAGGCAGCUUACUAAACUAUAACUGACACUGAAGCACGAAAGCGUGGGGAUCAAACAGGAUUAGAUACCCUGGUAGUCCACGCAGUAAACGAUGAUUACUAGCUGUUUGCGAUACACAGUAAGCGGCACAGC